rnacentral:rRNA from 1 species
GGGAAUAUUGCACAAUGGGGGAAACCCUGAUGCAGCGACCCCCCGUGAGUGAAGAAGUAUUUCGGUCUGUAAAGCUCUAUCAGCAGGACAGAAAAUGACGGUACCUGACUAAGAAGCCCCGGCUAACUACGUGCCAGCAGCCGCGGUAAUACGUAGGGGGCAAGCGUUAUCCGGAUUUACUGGGUGUAAAGGGAGCGUAGACGGUGAAGCAAGUCUGAAGUGAAAGGCGGGGGCUCAACCCCCGGACUGCUUUGGAAACUGUUUGACUGGAGUGCAGGAGAGGUAAGUGGAAUUCCUAGUGUAGCGGUGAAAUGCGUAGAUAUUAGGAGGAACACCAGUGGCGAAGGCGGCUUACUGGACUGUAACUGACGUUGAGGCUCGAAAGCGUGGGGAGCAGAC